rnacentral:rRNA from 1 species
CAGUAGCCGCGGGAAUACGUAGGGUGCGAGCGUUAAUCGGAAUUACUGGGCGUAAAGCGUGCGCAGGCGGUUGUGUAAGACAGGUGUGAAAUCCCCGGGCUUGACCUGGGAACUGCGCUUGUGACUGCACAGCUAGAGUAUGGCAGAGGGGGGUGGAAUUCCACGUGUAGCAGUGAAAUGCGUAGAGAUGUGGAGGAACACCGAUGGCGAAGGCAGCCCCCUGGGCCAAUACUGACGCUCAUGCACGAAAGCGUGGGGAGCAAACAGGAUUAGAUACCCCUGUAGUCCCUGUCUCUUAUAC